UCCUACGGGAGGCAGCAGUAGGGAAUCUUCCGCAAUGGGCGAAAGCCUGACGGAGCGACGCCGCGUGAGCGAAGAAGGCCUUCGGGUCGUAAAGCUCUGUUGUGAGGGACGAAGGAGUGCCGUUCGAAUAGGGCGGUACGGUGACGGUACCUCACGAGAAAGCCCCGGCUAACUACGUGCCAGCAGCCGCGGUAAUAA
rnacentral:rRNA from 1 species